UACGGGGGGAGCAAGCGUUGUUCGGAUUUACUGGGCGUAAAGGGCGCGUAGGCGGCCAGCACAAGUCGGUUGUGAAAUCUCCGGGCUUAACUCGGAAAGGUCAACCGAUACUGUGCGGCUAGAGUGCGGAAGGGGCAACUGGAAUUCUCGGUGUAGCGGUGAAAUGCGUAGAUAUCGAGAGGAACACCUGAGGUGAAGACGGGUUGCUGGGCUGACACUGACGCUGAGGCGCGAAAGCUAGGGUAGCAAACGGG
rnacentral:rRNA from 1 species